rnacentral:rRNA from 1 species
UACGUAGGGUGCGAGCGUUGUCCGGAUUUAUUGGGCGUAAAGAGCUCGUAGGCGGUUUGUCGCGUCGGCCGUGAAAUCUCCACGCUUAACGUGGAGCGUGCGGUCGAUACGGGCAGACUUGAGUUCGGUAGGGGAGACUGGAAUUCCGGGUGGAGUGGUGAAAUGCGUAGAGAUCCGGAGGAACACCAAGGGCGAAGGCAGUGUCCUGGGGAGUACCUGACGCUCAGGUGCGAAAGCCAGGGGAGCGAACGGG